ACACCAGUGGUCUAGGGGUUAUGACUUUGCUCUUAUAGUUUACUCCUUCCACAAAGGAUGAGCUAUGCAAGAACCCCGGUUCGAUUCCGGGCUGGUGUA